UCCUGACACAGGGAGGUAGUGACAAGAAAUAACAAUACAGGGCUCUUUCGAGUCUUGUAAUUGGAAUGAGUACAAUUUACAUCUCUUCACGAGGAUCAAUUGGAGGGCAAGUCUGGUGCCAGCAGCCGCGGUAAUUCCAGCUCCAAUAGCGUAUAUUAAAGUUGUUGCAGUUAAAACGCUCGUAGUCGGAUUUCGGGGCAGGUUUGCCGGUCUGCCGAUGGGUAUGCACUGGUNGAANNGUCCUUCCUUCCGGAGACGGCGCCUACUCUUAACUGAGCGGGUGUCGGAGACGGAUCGUUUACUUUGAAAAAAUCAGAGUGUUUCAAGCAGGCAGCUCGCUUUUGCAUGGAUUAGCAUGGGAUAAUGAAAUAGGACUUUGGUGCUAUUUUGUUGGUUUCGAACACCGAAGUAAUGAUUAACAGGGACA
rnacentral:rRNA from 1 species